UACCCCGACUGGAUUGGGACAACCCGGGAAACCCCGGGCCUAAUACCAAAUGUGGUCUCUCUUCAUAAGUAGAGCGACUAAGGAAGCUUCGGCCUCCGCAUUGGAGGGGCCCGCGGCCCAUUAGCUUGUUGGUGAGGUAACGGCUCACCAAGGCUUCGAUGGGUAGCUGGUCUGAGAGGACGAUCAGCCACACUGGGACUGAGACACGGCCCAGACUCCUACGGGAGGCAGCAGUGGGGAAUCUUGCGCAAUGGGCGACAGCCUGACGCAGCAACGCCGCGUGGGGGGAAGAAGGCCUUCGGGUUGUAAACCUCUUUCAGGAGGGACGAAGCUUCGCCGGUGAAUAGCCGUGCGGAGUGACGGUACCUCAACAAGCAGCCCCGGCUAACUACGUGCCAGCAGCCGC
rnacentral:rRNA from 1 species